rnacentral:rRNA from 1 species
CAGUCGCCGCGGGAAUACAGAGGGUGCGAGCGUUAAUCGGAUUUACUGGGCGUAAAGCGUGCGUAGGCGGCUUCUUAAGUCGGAUGUGAAAUCCCUGAGCUUAACUUAGGAAUUGCAUUCGAUACUGGGAAGCUAGAGUAUGGGAGAGGAUGGUAGAAUUCCAGGUGUAGCGGUGAAAUGCGUAGAGAUCUGGAGGAAUACCGAUGGCGAAGGCAGCCAUCUGGCCUAAUACUGAAGCUGAGGUACGAAAGCAUGGGGAGCAAACAGGAUUAGAUACCCCAGUAGUCCCUGUCUCUUAUAC